ACGAACGCUUGCGGCAUGCCUAACACCUGCCAGUCGCACGAGACCUUCGGGUCUAGUGGCGCACGGGUGCGUAACGCGUGGGAACCUGCCCUUAGGUUCGGAAUAACUCCCCGAAAGGGGUGCUAAUACCGGAUAAUGUCUUCGGACCAAAGAUUUAUCGCCUUUGGAUGGGCCCGCGUUGGAUUAGCUAGUUGGUAGGGUAAAAGCCUACCAAGGCGACGAUCCAUAGCUGGUCUGAGAGGAUGAUCAGCCACACUGGGACUGAGACACGGCCCAGACUCCUACGGGAGGCAGCAGUGGGGAAUAUUGGACAAUGGGCGAAAGCCUAAUCCAGCAAUGCCGCGUGAGUGAUGAAGGCCUUAGGGUUGUAAAGCUCUUUUACCCGGGAUGAUAAUGACAGUACCGGGAGAAUAAGCUCCGGCUAACUCCGUG
rnacentral:rRNA from 1 species